UACAGAGGUCCCAAGCGUUGUUCGGAUUCAUUGGGCGUAAAGGGUGCGUAGGCGGGUCUUUAAGUCAGGGGUGAAAUCCUGGAGCUCAACUCCAGAACUGCCUUUGAUACUGAAGAUCUUGAGUUCGGGAGAGGUGAGUGGAACUGCGAGUGUAGAGGUGAAAUUCGUAGAUAUUCGCAAGAACACCAGUGGCGAAGGCGGCUCACUGGCCCGAUACUGACGCUGAGGCACGAAAGCGUGGGGAGCAAACAGG
rnacentral:rRNA from 1 species